UAUCAGUCAUGCAUAGCAUAUCAAUAAGCGGAGGAAAAGAAACUAACAAGGAUUCCCUUAGUAACGGCGAGUGAAGCGGGAAGAGCUCAAAUUUGAAAUCUUCAAGGUUUUACCUUGACGAAUUGUAGUUUAAAGAAGUGUUUUCUGUUGAAGUUUAGGUAAAAGUUCUUUGGAAUAGGACAUCAUAGAGGGUGAGAAUCCCGUAUUUGACCAUUACUUUCAGCUUUGUGAUACACUUUCAAAGAGUCGGAUUGUUUGGGAAUGCAGUCCAAAAUGGGUGGUAAAUUUCAUCUAAAGCUAAAUAUUGGCGAGAGACCGAUAGCGAACAAGUACCGUGAGGGAAAGAUGAAAAGAACUUUGAAAAGAGAGUUAAACAGUACGUGAAAUUGUCAAAAGGGAAGCGUUUGACACCAGUGUUGUUUUCUCGAAAAUCAAUUAAAAAGAGUUGGAUUUUGUGUUGUAUUGACUUUAUCAGCUUUCUUCACUCUUUUCCAGCUUUUUUUAAUGCACCUUUCGUUUAACAAGUCAACAUCAGUUUCUUUUGUUGUAAAAAGGUCAUUGGAAGGUGGCUUUCUCUUCGGAGAAAGUGUUUAUAGCCUUUGACUCAUGCAAUCGGAGAGACUGAGGUCUGCAGCGUAGAUCCUUCGGGGUUAGAUACAUUUGUGCUAAGUUAUAGCUUUUCAUAGACAACUUGUUGACUAUGUUUAGUCUUGUAGCUUACUCGCUUAUGCUAUUUUACCUACGCUUAGGAUGUUGAACUCUAUCACACACAG
rnacentral:rRNA from 1 species